rnacentral:lncRNA from 1 species
GCAGCAGUCCCCAGAGAAUCAAAACCAGUUUCCUGAAUGAAAAUACCCAAACCAAAUAUAGUGGGGGCACCCCCUACCCACCCCCAAUUUCUCAUCUCAAGCCCCUGCCCCACUCUCUACUCCGGGUUCACGCAGAUAUUUUUCAUUGUUCUCUCCUCUCUUUCCGUUUCCAUAAACUUAUCUGGUAGGUAUCUAUUCUCCCGUUUCUCUUUCUGCUGAAAACGCCAUUGAAAUGACUCUUAUUUUUCUUUCAAUUCUCAGUGCAUCUUCAUUCAUCUUCUCCUCAAAUUGUCCGAUUAACUUUUCGAUCACUCACAACACUAUGAAAUUGCAAUCAUUUUGGCCAUUAAUGGCGGCGGUUCAUUCACUUCUUUUCUGUUUUGUUCCUAAGAAAGAUAGAAAAAAAUCUUUUUUUAAUAUCAUAUGCUAAACGCAUUUUCACCUUUGCUUAUAGACUGGUUGCGUUUUGCGACACUUUUGCUAUAUACAUUUCAUGUUUUUUUUUCAUCAUAUAAUUUUGUUCAACUUGCUGAUCGGAAUCAUUUUUCGUUUUGCUUUUUCAUCUGGAACUUCUUUCAGAUCAUCAAGUUUUCGAAUGAUACGAUAUGUAAUCACUCCCAGCCAUUGCGAACAUGCCGUUGCUUGGUUUUUCAGGUGGGCAAUGCUGUUUCUUUCAUAUUUAUUUCGUAUUUAAAUUAAAUAUACGUUUCAAUUAGUUUCUUCUUUCUUCUUUGCAAUUUAUUUUGGUUCAUAAAGUUUUUCCUUGCCGAGUUAUUGAAGUUUCGUUUCUUUACGAGGUCCAUAAGCAUCUUAUGUUGGUUUUAAUGUCACAUUUGAUGUACUGUUGCUGAUUAAUUUCGCUUUGGAAUUUCAUAAAAAGAAGGGAUUUUAACACAAAUAGCCAAAGAUUCACUGUUUACUUUUUCUAGUUGGUAUACAUAGAUUAUACAGUAAUUAUACACAGUUAUGCACAUAUGAUACAUGAAUUAUACAUAUAUUCUAUAUCUGUCUGGCUAGUUUUAGUUUAAGCGAUUAGGUGGAGGCUAUUUGGGUUAAUUCUUCUAAAAAGAAUCACUUUACUGUUUCUCGGUCGAAUCUGUGGUGGCUCCAUAUUUGUUAUUGCAUGUACCCUUGUUUUUUGGUUUCUGCUGCAUUUUCUUUUUUGGCACUAAUUCAUCCCAAGAAAUAAUACUAGUAGUUACUUUUACCUUAUGGCAUGUGAAAUAUGCUUCCGACCUCUGUGAUAUACUCUUAGUGCUGCUGUCUUAUGGCUUCUCCUGGGAAUUGUGUUAUGAUCUGCAUUCCAUUUUGCCUUCCUGUUAAUGUUGACAUAAAUUUUGGUGUUAUUGAUCUAAAGUGUAUCCACGCCACAUCAUUUAAAAUACAGAUAGCUAAACACUAUCAACAAGAAAUUGACCAUUUUACCAGUAUAAUGGCCUACAGUAGAAGUUGAACUGAAAUACCACUUGGCAAUCUAAAUAAAAUCUAGUAACACCAUGUUAAUUUUUACCCAUUACUCUAGGAAAAUAAUGUUUAACAUUAACUAGCUUUGUUCCUCUAGAAUUGUUUAGAGAUCAUAUUCAAAGCGAUUUUCCUCGUGAAAUGGCUUGGCAACCUACUUUUUUGUAUUUAAACACAUGUUCUAACAUAAAUUAAGGUUCUUAAAAAAAAAAUUAGGGUUUUCAUUUUACAUUUCAAUGAGAGACCAAUAAACUCAUAUUCCCUCCGUUCCAAUUUUAUUUUCUUUUUAGUCAUUCCAAAAAGACUGACCUCUUUCUAAAUUAAAUGUGACUUCUCAUUUUUACCCUUUUUGAGAAGCUUAUGUUGCCACAAAAAUGCUCCGGCAUAUUUAAGAUCAAAAGUUUCAAAAGUAUUAUAGCCACACAAAUGUUAUGACAUAUUUACGAUCGGAAGUUUCAAAAAUCGUCUUUUCUUUCUUAAGCUAUGUGGUUGAAAAGGAGGAAGUAUUUGACAUGAGCCUACAAAAACAGAAGUGAGUAGUUGAGGAGCAUAUGAGAGAAUUGAGCAGGGCAAAUGAAAAAGUUUAAAGAGAGCAAAGUAUUUAGAAUGCAAUAUAUUAUGAUCCAAAAAGUAUAAGUUGUUAAUUCUAAUUAUAAAAAUAUAAGUUAUGGAUCCAUGUGGGAUUCAUAGGGAUGGCUAAUAGGAGAAGUAAGAGAUAGAUAGAGCGGGGUGAGAGGAGUGAAUGCCUAAGUAUAAGGGCCAUUAUCAAGGUGGGGUUAAAGGAAAGAUGUGUGAUUAGUGUGCUCGCAAGAAAUGAAAACGAAAAAAUACCAGAGUCAAUUAUCAUAAGUGUGUGAAAACAUAAGAGUGAGAAGUGAAAUGAUAUGCUUAGGAGGAGAUAAGAAGGGAUUGUGGUGUUAUAAGACAUGUCGAUGUUGAAGUUUCAAGAUGUGAGGAAGGAGAUUCCACAAUUAUUGUAAUCUUUGAAAGUGUGGAUAGUUCAGUCGAGUGAGAUUGAUGGGUCGGCAAGUGAGGGGUCAAAAUGGAGUUUUGAGAGGAGAUCUCAUUGGUGAUGCUAGGAUGGGGUAAUGCGAGAUAGAUCGGGAUUUCAGUGCAAUAAGACUCCUGAAGGAAAGAGAGGAAUGUGAGGCCAGCGUUUAAAUCCCAACAUAGGCAAAAAUAGUAGGUGAUUAUUCUCCUAUACAUGUGCUUAUAGGAGAUGACGGAAUGGCAGUUACCUGAUGGAUUAGUCGAGUGCAUGCGAACUGGCUUGAACCUUGAUGUUUUAAACGGAAAGAAAGAGAUGGUAUGACGAUCCUUUGGGCAAUGGGAAAUUCACGAUGGUAAUCAACUCUCCCAUUUUUUGAUAGGUCCACAACUGAAAAGUCAAUCAAGGCUCGACAAGUUUCUCAUCCAACCGUAUGGGAGGGGAUGUUGCUAAUAUUUAUCCAAAUUGCUUCUUCUCUAAUAUUAAACCCUAUACUGAUUUUGUAGAUUGUAGCAGAAUAAGGAGUACCCUUCCUAACAAUUAGAAGCGGCCAGUGCUGGAUGGAUGGAGGGAGUACCAUAUGCAAAGGGUUCCUCUUUUUCUCCGGCGAAGAAGUUGAAGCGGCUAACAAAUUAUUUAAGAUGGACUGGAGAAGUACUUUAGAGGAUAAAAAUAUAACAAGGGAACUGAUGAAUGAAUUUGGACAAUUGGAGAGGAAAGAGAGAGGGUGCUUAUUAAGAGGGAAAAAUUAGGAAAUAUGAGGUAAAAGAGUAAUUAGCUAAGAUGACAGUCACUCAAGCAUCAAAAGGAGAUAAAAUUUGAGGAUAUUGUGGUUGAAGAAGGGUGAUUGCAACAUAAAUUCUUUUUAUCUGUUAGCAAUUGCUAGUCGGAGAAGGAAUUUUAUGGACACAAUAAAGGUGAAAUAGGUAGAACAUGGAGAAAAAGGAAGUAAGAGGAGUUAUUGAGUGAAGAUAAUGUGGGCAUAAAACUCUAAAUUAAAGAGAGUGGAUUUUAGCAACAUAGGGAGAGAAGAAGCAAUCAGUUUGAGAGGGAGUUCUUACUGUUAGACGUUUGGGGGGCUGUUGUUACUGUUCAUGGAAGUGCUCAUCAAAGCUACAAAUAGAGUUGUGAUUGGGGGUUAUCUAAGAUCCUUGUAGCUAGCAUGGAAGGCUGGACCAAUGUAGGGAUGUUUCAUCUUCUCUUGCAGACAGUACUCUUGCAUAUUGACCCCGAGGCGCAUCAACUCGCUACUUGAAAAGCACAUAAUUAUCUAGGUAGCUUUGAGUCUGAAGAUAGACAUGAAGGCGUUGAGAUAAGUCUAGUGGGUAAAGAAGAUAACAUAGAGCAACUAAAUGAGAUCCUAUUGUAUGGUUGGUUCCCCUUCUGUCAAACUACCUGGGACUAAAUGCAGCUUAUUAUCUAGUUCUUAUAGCCUUUCUAUGGGGUAAAUGGUAAAGUUACAUGGGUAUUGCAUGGUAUUCUUUCUCCUUAUCUUUAUAGGAUUAGAGCUUUGAUUUGAUGUGCUUUUUUUUCUUUUUCAUUGGACAGUUCUUUUUGGUCCUGAUUAUGUUGAACUGUCAUAUUUUCCUAUCGUUAAACAUAGUCUUAUUUUGAAAUGGAUUUCUACCAUACAUUUGGUGGCUAGUGGGCUGUAUUAGCAUUUUGGUAAAUGACAAGGCAGUUAGUAUUUAGUCCUAUUUGAGCUGGUCUGGAUUCCAUUCCAUAGAUAGUCCUGGAUGUGAUGCAAAAUCUUUAGUGCAUUCGUUUACUCAUAUCCUUGAAUAAAGUUCAUCAUACAGGUUACUAGUGAUUUUAAUUGAAUAAUUCCUCUGUUAUAGAGUACAACGGCUAAAGUACCUAAUUUUUGGUGUGGAUUUAACCAUAGGUUCUUCAAGUUUUUGAAAUAAAAUUUACAUAGUUGGAAACUACAUAAAAGGCACUAUAGGUCACAAAAGUUAAUAAUUCAAAAUAUUUGAAAGGUUUAAAAAAAGGGGGUUGUGGUCAAAGAACUCCCAGAAUAUGAAAAGUGGCCUUUUUUCCCCAAAAAAAGAAAAAGAAAAAGAAAAAUGUGAUAGAGGAAGUAAUAGGUUUUAGAGGGAUAGAAGAAAUAAAUUAGAUACAUUUUUUACUGAUAUAAUUCAGUUACAGUUGCUUUGUUUAAUGCAACAAAAGAUGACUUUUUACCACAUCUUCAAUACAAUAGAUUUCCAUGCCUUAAUUGUGAAAAUAUGAUUCAAGAAUAAAUAAAAUGGUUAUGAUAGACAUCAAGAUGACAAGAUCAUAAUGCUAUUGCUAUACAUUGUUUGUUUCUAUGCUUUUGAAUAAAUGUGUGUGCAUCAAUGCAUGGGUGGAGCUAUGGUGGUGGAAGGGGGUUCCCUUCACCGGAAAAUUACAUUGCAUAUAUAAGGUCAAAUAUUUUAUGUAAACAUAUUAGGUAUUGAAUCCCCUUGGCCUCGGUGCAUGUCUACUUUUUUUGUUUUUUGAAUCUCCUUAGCGGAAAUCCUAGCUUCGCCACUUAUGUUACCAUUUUUUUUUUUAAAAAAUCCUAGCUUCGCCACUUAUGUUACCAUUUAAAAAAAAUAAAUCCUAGCUUCGCCACUUAUGUUACCAUUUAAAAAAAAAAAAAUCCUAGCUUCGCCACUUGUAUUAGUACUCUCUUACAAACAUAUCACCAUAAUACAUUUUCUUUUCUCUUUCUUUUCUUUUUGUAGAGUAUAUAUCUGCCUCUCAUAUUUGUUUGAGUCUGUGCCUCUUAUAUCAAGAUGGUUCAAGUCCCAACUCCUCCCCAAUUGUACUUCACUCCCUUCUUUUUUCUGUCAAUCUCCUUUUUUGUGAAAAAGUGAGCUCGUUCACAAUAAGCGUUAAGUUUUGGGAAGUAAUAAGCGGGGCUAGCUUACGGUCUCUGGUUCACCUACCUUGAGUAAUGCCAAUUUUUUGGAAUGGAUGAAGUGGGUUAUAACAUAUAUAAAGUUUAAAAAAAUUUCUGAAGCUCUUAAAGAAAGGGGAAACAAAGCUUGGUGAUUUGACCUCAUACUAAAUUGUAAUGGCGCCUCAAACUGAAACUUUUGGCAGUACAAAUGAAGUUCAGGAAUAAGGUUACUACACUAUUUCCUUGCUUGUCCCGUUAGUAGAAUAACAUAUUAAUGCUAUUGUCGUAACAGAGCAUACUAGUAUAUUUACUUUUCUGUAGUUUUAUUUACUUAGACCCUCUAAAUAAGAUUGCACAGUUGUUAUGUUGCUAAAGUUCUCAUUAUGACCUAAAAAUUUUCAUGUUGACCUUCAAUUAAACCAUGAUAGAACUGAAAAUAAAGGAUUCAAGUGGCUUAACUUAGCUUACUAUAUAUAACUGAAAAAAGUACAAUUUGAAAGAAUCUCAAUAUUGGCAACUCCAAGAGAGAACCAUGCCAUCUUACUGAAAUAUGGUGUAUAGAUCCUUGCUCUGUACAAGGGCUAUCCUUGUCCGGCCUGUCAGGGAAUUCUUAAUCUUGUUGCUACAUUGAUGUAAAGUGUUAUUUAGUUGAGAUACUGCAGUAACACUAGAUGGUCAAUUCUUUUUCCUUGAGCCGUGUCAGUUUCCUCUGAAUUUACUCGAUUCUGCAUCUUUAUGAACCUUACUACACUAGCUGUCUUCAUUUUUAUCCAAGUGCUAAGCCAUUAUGAAACCUUAUCUACGCCUCUUUUGUUUCUAUUUGUCUUGAACUGAGAAUCUUUGACUAAAAGAGAUUGUUUAAUUAUGUUUUAUAUUCUCAGUGUUUGAAAUUGCUGCUGCUGCCAUUAUUGAGCUUUGGUUGUAAUAAGUUUUCCAACCAUUCUUGGUAUUGGCAUUGUAAAAAGAUGCUCGAUGUGCUGAUUAUUCCACUAAAAACUAAGAAGAAACUUCUCCUUUUUGUUUAUUUUACACAAUUUUCUGGAAUGUCCCGAGCAGGUGGGAUCAUAUUCUUUGGUAACAUUGCAUGCUUGCAGUUUUGCUGUUUGAAGAGAAAUUCAAAUUUCUAGUUUUAAUUCCUUUACCUUGUCAAUAUGUAGUACCUGUACACACUAAACUUUGAUAAGCUCCGUGAAGUUUUUGCCUUUUUUUCAAUUCCCUAGUCUUAUCCACUACCCAAUAUUCCUUCAUUCACGUUCAUGUAAACUACAUCCAGAUAGCAGUUGAAUAGUCUUUUGUGGUUAAGACUCUACACCUUUUAGAUGACUGUGUUCUGCCUAUGUGUAUUUCCUGAAGUAAUACAGAAGACUUCUGCCUGAGAUGAACUUUAUGAUCAGACAGUUCAUGACCUAAGCAUGAAUGCUUUCUUGUUAAUUUAAGUGUGCAAUCCAUUGCUGUACAAAUAGAUAAUUUGGCGAGACUGUCUUUUGUAUUAUAGAAAUUGUUUUUGAUUGCGCAUGCCAUUCAUGUCGGUUUAGCAUUGGGAUCCUUGUGAUCCAGAAAUAACUUGUUUAAGAAGCACUUACUAUAUUCCUUAUUUAAGAAAAAAACAAACGCUUACUGUAUUUGGCAGCAAAGAAUGUAGUACUCAAAAUUGUGAAGCAUGUUUCAUAUAUUCUUUCCUGAUAUAAUUCUUUCUAUACAUAUUUAGUCUUCAGGCUCAAGAUCAUUCAUUCUUAAAUUCCCGGGAAGAGCAUUACUAAUAUAAAUUCGUAUUGUGUAUUUUUCUUUUCCAGUUGAAUGCUGAAAUUUGACAUUGGUGUGUAAUGAACUUAGUUUGUCCUUGCUGAAGACUAUUGCAUGCAAAGCAUAUUGAUGCAACUUUGAGGUAUGUCUUAAUGUAUUAAGUUGCUUAGCUCAGAUUUGUACUGUUUGCAUGUGGUGUGUUUCUCAAGGAAUUUCUAUGAGGAGCUACUGUUUUGUAAAACCUUUUCUGCUUACAUUUCUUCGCUCUUGCUCCUGUUUUAAGUUGUCAACUAUUUACAAUUAUUUCAGAAGUGUCAAAUCAAUUAUAAUCCUAGCAUAUAUGCAUACACAUCAUAAGCAUCAAGUGUCGAGAAAGAUAAAGAACUUAGAGAUACUGUGCCAAUGUAUUCUUUUAUUUGUUGUUAUUUUGACUUAAGUAGCUGUGCUAGGGAUUACCUCACACUUGUCUAACUUGCUGACAUUAACCAUAUGAACGGUAGAUUUUUCCUGACAUCCCUGCUUCUCUACCACUACUACCAUUACUAAUUGAAACAUAACUUUGUAAGCACGGCUGCUUCUUCAACACGAGAACUCAAAACUCUUACGAGUCUGGUUUUCCCGCUAAUGCAGCUGUAGCCUGCAGCAUGUUCCAGUUAGAUGAUAGUCAAUGAUCAAGGUCGUGAGCUACCAUUGUGCUUCCAGAUAAAGAAUAUGAAUAAGAAAUUACCCCAAUUCUGUAGUUCCUGAUGUGCCAUAGUUUUGUUGCUGUGGCUGGCUAAGCUGGAGAUGUACAGGAGUGUGGGGGUCUUCAUUAAUGCUUAAACUGUUCGGAGCAAGGGCUAUUCCGCUCACUCCAUUUGCAUCUCUAUUUCCAUAAACCUGUAAGUUCAACACAAAAUGUAGAAACAAUUUGCUAGAGUUCUAAGUAGAAUGGUGAAACUUUUUUACUUGGUAUAUGAAUAUGGAAGGAAAUAAUUGUUCUUGAAGCGCAGUGAAAGCUCUUAGUGAUGUACAUGGAUACCCUCUUAUACAAUUCCAUAUUUUCUUGACGAAUUAGGUUUACCUUCUUAUAUAGUUCCAUGUUUUCUUGAUGGAUGAGGUUUCCCUGCAAGGAAAAAAGUUAAUUUAGCUUCUUUAAAAGUUAUCCUUUUUAGAACAAAUUGAAAACAAAAGUCACUGCAUUUUAUGUUGAUUGACCUUUCGGUUUAGUUCUUGUAUCUCAUCAAUCAGAAUUUCAUCCUGUAGAAAUGAGAGGUUGAGUUAGUUCUUCUUUAGUUCAUAUAAGAUAGUGCACAUUUGAUGGAUCUGGAAGUUUCGUACCUUUCUCACACGGACACCACGGAGACUCAUUUCCAGUUGGUUCUCCAAGUUCUGUAAAUCUUUGACGCUCAGACCAGAAAGCUCUUCACCCAUCAUUUGUCUAUAGUGCAGAAAUAAACUGUUAACAAACACGCGACUUCAACAGAAAAGUUGAUACCUGACUGACUAUGAUUUAGAUAUACAUCCAUUUCUAACAACUGUUGCUUCUCGCUUCUUGGGGGGGGGGGGGGGUUGAUGUUAAACAGCUCGAGGGUUUGGGCUUUAGCAGAAAUCUAUAACACCAUUUGAGAUGGGCUUAUUAUUGGAUUUUCACUCCCGACAUUAAGUGGUUUCUGAGUUUAUCUAGUGUAAACACCUCUACAGAAACCUUCAGUAAAUUGCAUGAUUCACUGCAGUAUAUUUUGCAAAAUGUAGUAUGCUUUAGAAGUCCAUGCUAAUACUUCUAAUCAUGAGAGAUAAGAGAUACUGGGUGCUGCUUGAUACUUUAACGCCUUGAUGUGAGGGAUGAUAGUAAGACAUUGUAAGGAUUAUGCUCACGGUCUUGAAUGUCUCAUCAUUUUGAUUGGAAUACCAGUAACCUCAAAUAAUCUCUGAAUGUCCUUUCUGUUAGCACUUACAGAUAUAACCUUCUUAUGGAGGAUCUAGAGUGGAUAUCUCUGUUUCAUCUGCUAUUUUGAAAACUGAAAAUGCUACCAGCUAUCAAGUGGCACUUCCUAGCAAGGUGGCUGAUAGUUUAACCCUUAAUUUCUUGCAUAGCAAAAGCUUUUUUAGGGAAAUUGGUGGUUAACCUAGGGAUUGCCUAAAGCAAUAAAAAACAGAAAUGAGAAAAAGGAACGAGACAAGUUAACCUUUUUAACAAUAAAAAAACAAGUCGACUAUUUCAUUUCCGUAACUAUAAACUAAAUGACCUUAUCAAAAAAAAAAACUAUAAACUAAAUGAAAUGACAACAAACAUUUAGAAAAUGACAACAAACAUUUAGAAUUAGUCAACUAUUAACUAAUUCAAAUGAAAACUUGACUUCUGGGCUCCAAAAUGAUGAAGUAAGUUGAAAUGGAAAGGUCUUCAACAUAUAAUUUAGGAGGCAAAGUACUAAUAGAACUUUAGGAUUGAAAGAUAGAUAGAAAUGAGAGGAAAGAAGAGAGUACAACAACAACAACAUACCCAGUGUAGUCUCACAAGUGGGGUCUAGGGGGUUGUGUGUACGCAGACCUUACCCUUACUCUUAAGAAGACAAGAGGCUGUUUCUGGUAGACCGUCGGCUCAGGAAAGAUAAAGGGAAGGGGCAAUAACAAGAAAACCAAUCGGAAAGCCGAAGCAAAAAUACAAAACUAACACUAGGUAAUGCAAUCAGAAAACCGAAGUGAAGGCAACAACAAGUAAUAACAAAAGUCUAGGAAGACGAAAAUACACGAAAGACGCUAAGUGAUGUACUAGAGCUACUGUAACAAACAAGGACAUCGCUCGACUACCUAACCUUUUACCUUUAUUCUCAACCUCCACACCUUCCUAUCCAUGGUCAUGUCAUCAGUAAGCUGGAGCAAUGUCAUAUCUUGCCUAAUCACCUCUUCCCAUUACUUCUUUGGCCUGCCUCUACCUCUCCGUUGGCUCUCUAAGGCCAACCUCUCACACCUCCUCACCGGUGCAUCUGUGCCUCUCCUCUUCACAUGCCUGAACCAUCUAAGUCUUGCCUCCCGCAUCUUGUACUCCAUAGGGCGCAUCUUGUACUCCAUAGGGGCCACGCCCACCUUGUCCUGGAUAACUUCAUUUUUAAUUUUAUCUAACCUGGUAUGCCCGCACAUCCAUCUCGACAUUCUCAUUUUAGUCACCUUUAUCUUUUGGACAUGAGAGUUCUUGACUGGCCAACACUCCACCCCAUACAACAUAAUCGGUCUGACCACCGCUCUAUAGAACUUACCUUUAAGUCUUGGUGGCACAUUCUUAUCAUAUAAAACACCGGAAGCGAGCCUCCAUUUCAUCUAUCCCGCCCCAAUACAAUGUGUGACAUCCUUGUCGAUCUCCCCAUUCCCUUGUAUAACUGACCCAUGGUACUUGAAACUUUCUUUCCUAGGGAUGACUUGUGAAUCAAGCCUCACGCCUUGGCCCACUACCUGUGUCGCACCACUGAACUUACACUCCAAGUAUUCUGUUUUGGUCCUGCUCAACUCGAAACCUUUAGAUUCCAGGGUCUGCCUCCAAACCUCUAACCUCUUGUUUACAUCACCUCGCGUCUCGUCAAUCAGUACAAUAUCAUCUGCAAAUAACAUGCAUCACAUCACCUCCCUUUGAAUGUGGCGCGUCAGUGCGUCGAUCGCCAGGUUAAAUAGAAAUGGGCUGAGGGCUUACCCCUGGUGCAACCCCAUCACAACUGGGAAGUGUUUCGAGUCCCCUCCCAGUGUCCUCACACGAGUCUUAGCUCCAUCAUGCAUGUCCUUAAUAGCCCUAAUGUAUGCAACUGGAACCCCUCUAGUCUCCAAACAUCUCCACAGAACCUCCCUCGACACUUUAUCGUAAGGCUUCUCUAAGUCGAUGAACACUAUAUGUAAAUCAGAGGAAAGAAGAGUAGGUAAUUUAAUUUUUUUGUUUGCUCGGAAUGGGUUUUUAGGAAUAGGAAGGGAGGAGGGAAGAGGGAAUUAAGUUCGUUAACACAAUGUUCUGUCCAAAAGUGGGUGAAACCAAGAAAAACAAGACAUGCUGUAGUGAAACUUUUGUAGCAUUAAAAGAAAACUCAGGAUUAUUAACAAAAUAACUAUUAAGGGAAUUAGUGUCAAUUGAUACACAUUCCUUUUAUAUUUCCUUACUCCAUCACAGGAAAGUAACAAUCUGCUCUCCCUUUCUUUUUCUCUACAUCAUCUCCAUUCUUCUCUUUUCCCUUUUCUCAAUUCAAAAGAUCAGUGUUAAAUAGUUUAAGUAGAGUAAUGGAGGAAAUAAUUCAUUUAACCUAGUUACUUUGUUGAUGAAUUCAAUAAUAUACUGAUAUUAUGGGCAGAUUCCCAUAUGUAUCCAAAUCCCUGCAAAGAGCAUUCGGUCAUCAAUACUGAUUGAGACACCAUACAUUAUCUAAAAACAGUACGUCCCUUAUGUAAAUACUGCUUAUUUGCACAUGAAGCACAAAGUGACAGGGAUUGUCCAUUUUCCUCUCAAAUUCUUUGUUGUUAGGAUAGCUCCUUGUGUUACUAUCGGUUUAAAAGCACGCUUCCCAAAUGCUGUAGGGAUCCAUAUUGAAGAGUGAGGGAAGUUACCUUUUCUUUAGCAGUCCAUUAUAAAAUGAUUUCACUAUGAACAUAACAUCUUUCUGGCCUUUCCUGUUUCCAGCUACCUUUGUCCAUAAAUGAUAUUUUUGCUUGUACGGUAAUGUAAGCAAACUAUUAAGCUGUUUCAUCGUCCAAUCCUUCACUCAAAUGUAGUUUCUAUAGAAUUUCCUCAUUCUUUAUAAUUGGGACGAGUGUUAAUCUCUGCUGGCUGAAAGUAUUGAAUAUGAUCAGAAAACUUAACAUAAAAGAAUAUGACUACAUUGUCUCUAUUUCCAGAAAUUGAUUCUGGUUUCAUUACCUCCCUUCUAAUUUGACACAUCCAUAGAAUCUCUCCACAUUUUCACCAUAUCCUCCAUAGAGUUACUCCAUAUAGCAUGGAUAAUCUGAUUGGUCCUAAUUAUCCCACUUGAUCUACAUACUUUUUAACUAUGAUCGCUCUCCACAAUGGUUGAUUUCCAUGCGAAACCCCCAAGUCAACUUCCCUAGUUGAGUUCUAUGAACAUUCCAUCUCCCUAUCGUGUCCCAUAAUAGAUUCGUUUACACUUUUUAACCUUUUGCCAUGAUUCCUGGUACAUAGUAAGUUGACAGAUUCGAAAAAUUACUCUUUGAUAAUGGUCUCUCUCUCCCUUUUAAGUAAGUAUUACUUCUACCGUCCUUUAGUUUCUUUUUGGUUCUCAACAUUCUCUUUCAUAUUGCAGUCUUUGUAAAUCGUACUGGUAUAGUCAAUAUGGAUACAUAGUAAGUUGGCAGAUUAAGCAAAUUUCUCUUGAUCGCUGUGUCUAUCUCACUUUUUCAAGAAGUAUUUCUUCUACCAGCCUGUUAGUCUCUUUUUGACUCUCUCGACCAUCAGUUUUUUUUCUUUGACAAUCCUUGAAAGUCGCACCCAGCGGUAGUAUUGAUAAGUCAUCUUAUGAUGGGACCCAUACUGCAACUAUGGAUCUCCACCAGCUAUUUAAUGCUCUUCGCUUCAUCAAUCUUAGAGUUCCCUGAGACCACAAUAGUAGAGCUGAUUUGCCUCGGUAAUAACACAAAAUGUCAUCUGCAUAUAGUAAGAUAUAGUAGAUAAUACACUUGUAAACUAUCUUUCCUUCCCUACAAGCUGUGAAGCCCCAUAAAUAACCCCUGUCCUUAUUCUCCAUCUUCUUGUUGAAUAUUUCAAUGAUCAGUAUGAACAAUGUCAGGUGUAGGGUUUUUAAAGUCUUGCUUAAGGCGCAGUUAAGUCUUGAAGCUCAGUGAAAUCCAAUUUGUGGGAUUCACCUCCCAUGGUUGGCACUUUAGUGUAGGUACUAUAAUAUGUGCUUCUUCACCUAUGAGCUCCAUCUUUAAGAGCAUUGCACUAGACAAUAAAUAGAGUUGACAAAGUUAUAUUAAUUGUUAAGAAAGCCUUAUGAAUGAACUUUUAGCGAUUAGCAAUAAGAAAUUAGAAGCUGCACCAAGGGUGUGGCCUAGUGGUCAAUGAAGUGGGUUGAACACCAUGAGUUCUCUGGUUCAAUUCCCAACAGAGACAAAACAUUAGGUGAUUUCUUCCCAUCUGUUCUAGCCUUGGUGGACAGAGUUACCUGGUAUCUGUUGCUGGUGGGAGGUGGCAGGUAUCCCGUGGAAUUAGUCGAGGUGCACGCAAGCUGGCCCGGACACCACGAUUAUAAAAAAAAAGCAAUAAGAAAUUAGAAGUUCAAUAUAAGAAAAUUAGCCAUUAAAAACAUAAAACUAUGUUUUUCAUUUAAAUAAGAAGUUUAAAAUGGUUUCUGAGCUUACUUAACAUGACUUUUACUUCAUAUAUACAACCUAAUUCCAUUCUUUCGUACAAAGAACUAAUUUUUUUUUUUGUAGUUACAUUUACUUGCUUUACAUUUUUUUAUUAGCGCUUUUGUACGUUAAAACCCAUACUUCGAUUGCACUUUAAUCUUAAAGCCCAACGAACUUUAGCACUUUUUGCUUUUGACUACUUUGGUAAGGUGAUCACCUUGUCAUAGACCUCUUGAGCUUCCAAAGAAACCUUUGGGAUUCCGUUUACUAGACUGAGAACUUGAUAGUGGGCAUCAGAAAGUGGAUCAUUGUUUUCAUCUCUCCCAUCCCUUAUUCUCCAUAACGAGGUCCAGAAGUCAUGCUUUUUAUGGAUUACUUUACACAGUACUCGUGUCUCUCUACUCUUCCGUUCUAGCUCAGUCACUAUAUAAGCUCCUUGUAUAACUUAAAUAGCAGACAAAAUAGAUUUAAGGGCCCAAAUAAUAAAACAAUUCUAACAACGAAAAUUUCCACUUGUGAAACAAUUUGACUCCUAUGAUGUAGGAACUCAAUGAAAAUUACUGGGGUACUUUCUUCUGAAAUAAUUUUGCUCAAACAUCUCAAAAGCUAUCGUGGACUAACAUGAGCUCAAUUUAAGAAAAUACCUGAAUUGCUUAAUACACAAAAAUAUCCUUAUUUUUAUUCUAUAGGUCAUUGAACAAGUUAUUAGCAGAGAGAAGAAAUAUAUGUGAUAAAGAACAAGAAAGUUUACCGAUGAUUCUCUUGCAAGUUUUGUAGUUGUUGCCUCAGCACUGCCGCUUCCCUUUGCCAAAACUGCUAAGAAGAAAAAAUAUUUCUUACAUUUUGGAUUAUCAAGAACAAGAACAACAUGCCCAGUGUGAUCCCACAUGUGGGUUUUGGAGAAUGUAUGGUGUACGCAGACCUUACCCCUACCUUGUGUGAGGUAGAGAGGUUGUUUUCAAUACACCCUUGGCUCAAGAAAAGAAUUUUCAAAAUAGGUUUAAAAAAUACAAGAGUAAAAAAGUUAUGAUGAAAAUACUGAAACAAAGAAAAUUAUUGCCAGCAAAAUAGUAAAGAUAAUCGAAAUAAAAGAAACACCAGUUGUAUAAAAUUGAGGAAUAAAAUAAUAAUACUAGGAUAAUAAUACUAAUACUGAUAAAGAGAAGAGGGUGCUCUAAACUAGAACCACUGCUCUCCCGCAAAAAAAGAGAGAAAUCGCUUGACUACCUGCUAAUCUUCUACUCUAAUCCGCGGCCUCCAAGCUCUCCUAUCUAGGGUUAUGUCUUCGGUGGGCUGAAGAUGUGUCAUGUCCUGUCUAAUCAUCUCUCCCCAGUUCUUCCUCGGUCUACCUCUACCUCUCCUAAGACCUAUCAUUGCCAACCUUUCGCACCUCCGCAUUAGGGCAUCUGUGUUCCUCCUAUUCACAUGCCCGAACCAUCUCAACCUCGCUUUAAGGAUCUUGUCCAUCAUGAGGGCCACUCUUACCUUGUCCCACAUAUCUUCUUUCCUAAUCUUAUCUUAUGCUCACACAUCCUUCUAAGCAUCUUCAUUUCCGCUUCUUGCAUUUUCUGAACGUGUGAGUUCUUGACUAGUCAACACUCUGCUCCGCAUUUUGGAUUAUCAUAGGAGACAUUAAUGGAUAUCGCUGCAUGCUUUGAAAACUAGGUGCAAUAUCAAUAGUAAACAAAGCUUAGAUGUAAUGGGUUCUAUUUAGAUUAAUGUAUAGCCGUUCCCUUCCUUGCGGUCCAAGAAAUAGAUCCAUGUAUAACCUCAAGAUUGUGUAUUUUAAUUUAUUAGCCCUUUUAAAUUAGGGGGAAAAACAAAAUGAGCUAGGGUUACUUUCUUGAGGUUGCAUCCUGUCAAUGAUGAAAAAAGAAGGAAAAAUGAAAUACACUAGCUUAUGGUUCCGCUCCCCUCUAUUUCACUAGCUAACAUAAAUAAAAAUAUCAUUUCCUUUGUGUUAUCCCAAGGAUUGGAUCUGGUUAAGAAUCGCUGUAUACUCCUUAUGAAUGUCACUUCUCUUUUAUAAGAUUAAAAGGGAAAAGGAAGAACUUGAAUUCUUUUGAUUUUAGUUUUAAAUGUGGAGACACUUCUUGUGGUUAAUUUUUUUUCAAGAAGUAAAAAUUUUCAAAAAGAAGAAUCUGGUAUAAAUUAGACAAAUUCAAAAUAAUAGAUGCAUCAAAUAUGAUUAGAGGACGCAGCAUAUGAAACCUUACUGAUCUACUUUGGCUUAGAGACAACUUUAUCUUAAAAAAGACUUUGUAGACAUGCUGUCAAUUCUUGUUUCUUGAUUGCCUCAUUGAUAGGUUUCUCCUCUUUCUCUUACAUUGAUGAAAUGGUAGUGUCGUUUUUAAUAACUAAAACUUGAACUUUUUUCUUUUAAGCUAGUUCAGAUUAGGAUUUUGGAAGUUCUCUGGUUCAGGCGCAAAGUUCGACAUUUGGGAAUUGAAGGGGAUUCGAGUCUCAAACAUUAGUAGAUAACAUUAGAGAGUCAAAAAUACACUGACAAAGAGAACAUUGUUGCUGUGUCUGUGAAUCAGCUGCUUUCCAGAGUGACUCUUUGACCGUUUUCUUCUGUAUCUCCUCACAUUGAUGAAAAUGGGUGUAGAAGAGGAUUUCUACUUUUGGUACAAAGGUCGACAUGUAGGAAUAGAAGAGGAUUUGAGUCUUAACAUGACUAGGACACAUCAAGAUGUUGACCAUGCAACCAAGCCAGGUUGAAUUCAAUUUUUGUCAUUUUCGUGGAAGACAUAUUGUAGAUUUAGCUACAAGACUUCUUCUGCAUAGCACUAACAAUUUGAUGCAUCUCUUAGCAUGGACCCUAUUAUUGACUGGUUGCCCUGAUUAAUACAAUGCCUUGAUAUGGAUUUGCUGUAGAGUGGCUUGAGUGAUGUUAAUUAACAGCUCCUAUAUUUUGUGGUAAAUUACUCCUACAAACUUGUGAAGAAUUCUUCAAACCAAUGGGUUUGAAUGACAUUUCAUAGGGGAUUCAAAGUUUUGAAGUGAAAGAGAUAGCCACAAGGCAUCUUUUUUAUAUUUGUUGCUUCCUACCUUCAAAAGUUUUGCUCCACAAUAUGCCAUCAGCGAUAGAAAUGUAAGUUAUAGUUGUUUUGGUAGCCUUGAAGUUGAUGGCCAUUCUGGUGUGUGGUACUGCAUGGAGGAUGCAAAUUCAACGUUCUGCUUCGUAAAUGAGUUCUUACAGUUGCCGCAUAGUUACUCUAUGCUAUACUAUCAUAUGUUAUUCAAACCUCGGUCCUAAUUGUGCUAUAAUUUGUUUGUAACUUCCUUCUAUGCUUUGCACCAUAUGUGGGAUUUUUACAAUUGGAUCUAGCUUAAUUGACUGAGAAUAAUCCUACUGAAUAGAUGAAAUAGGACUCCACCAUCUAAUAGGUCCACAAGACUGAAUUUCCCCUCUUUGUAUACAGUUUUUAGUUCAUAGGAAGAGUUUGUUUCUUCAUUUACCAUCUCCUCUUGUACCUUUUAUUAUCAAAGUGAAAUAUGUGAAAGAAGAAUAAAAGAUUUGAUGCCUAAUGUUAUUGAUGGCUUUUUGGUAUAGGUUACAACAACAACAAUUACCCUGUAAAACAACAAUUGAUGGUGUACCUUACCCCUACCCAGGGGAGUAGAGAGGCUGUUUCUGAUAUACCCUCACCAGAAAAUAGAUGAAAAGCAAAAACAAUAAUCAGUAAAUAAGGCCCGGAAUUAUGAAAAACGGAAGAAUAGUGUGAACACAACAUUAACCGCUAGCCGUCUAAGACAAAACUCUAUCAGACUAGCCUCACACCUGUUACGGAGUAGAAAAAUGCUUGACUACCCCCUAACCUACAAUCCUAAUGCUCGACAUCAAGGGCCAUGUCCUCGAAAAUCUGAAGCUACGCCAUAUCCUGCCUGAUCACCUCUCCCUAAUACUUCUUAGACUGCCCUCUACCUCUUCUCGUACUCGUCAAAGCCAACUGCUCACUCCUUACCGUGGCAUCUAGGCUUCUCCUCCGCACGUGCCCGAACCAUCUGAGCCUCGCUUCCCGCAUCUUGUCAUCCAUAGGAGCCACACCCACCUUCUCCCGAAUAUCUUCAUUCCUAAUUUUAUCGAUCCUAGUGGACCCGCAUAUCCACCUCAACAUCCUCAUUUCUGCUAUUUUCAUCUGCUGGAUAUGUGAGUUCUUAACUGGCCAACACUCUGCCCCAUACAACAUGGGCGGUCUAACCACCGCUCUAUAAAACUUGCCUUUGAGUAUCGGUGGCACUUUCUUGUCACGCAGGACUUUAGAAGCUAACCUCCAUUUCAUCCAUCCAACCAAUAUACGGUGUGUGACAUCCUCGUCGAUCUCCCCAUCCCGCUAGAUAACCGACCCAAGAUACUUGAAACUGCCUCUUUUAGGAAUGACCUGCGAUUCAAGCCUCACGUCCAUGCCCGAUUCCCUCAACUCGGCGCUGAACUUGCACUUCAGGUAUUUUGUCUUAGUCCUGCUCAACUUGAAACCCUUAGACUCUAGGGCCUGUCUCCAAACCUCCAGCCUCUCGUUAACGCCUCACGUCUCAUCAAUUAGAACUAUGUCGUCAGCAAAUAACAUACACCAUGACACCUCCCCUUGAAUAUGAUGUGUCAGUGCGUUCAUCACCAGGGCAAAUAAGAACAGGCUAAGCGCAGAUCCUUGAUGUAACCCGAUAACAACCGAAAAAUGCUUUGAGUCAUCUCCCACUGUCCUAACCAGAGUCUUAGCUCCAUCAUACAUGUCUUUAAUCGCCCUAAUGUAAGCAACCGGCACACCUUUUGCCUCCAGGCAUCUCUAAUGAACCUCCCUACGGACCUUGUCAUACACUUUCUUCAGGUCAAUAAACAUCAUGUGUAGAUCCUUCUUCCUAUCCCUGAACUGUUCCACUAACCUCUUAUAUCUUCCGUAGUUGAACGACCCGGCAUGAACCCAAACUGGUUGUCAGAUAUAGACACCGUCCUCAUCACCCUNNNNNNCNNNNNNNNNNNNNUCCUUUGUUCUUGUACAACGGUACCAUCGUACUCCACCUCCACUCAUCCGGCAUCCUUUUCGUCCUGAAAAUAACAUUAAACAGUCCAGUCAGCCACUCCAAGCCUGCUCUACCCACACACCUCCAAAAUUCUACCUGAAUUUUGUUUGGCCCGGUUGCUCUUCCCCUACUCAUCUUACGUAUAGCCCCCACAACCUCCUCAACCUUAAUGCGCCUAUAGUACCUAAAGUCUCGGUGACUCUCAAAAUGCCCCAAUUCACCUAGCACAAUAUCCCGGUCCCCCUCUUCAUUCAGAAGUUUAUGAAAGUAAGUCUGUCAUCUCCGCUUAAUCUGAGCCUCUCCCAUCAAUACUCUACCGUCAUCGUCUUUGAUGUACCUCACUUGGUCCAGAUCUUGAGCCUUCCUCUCUCUCCCCUUGCCCAGCCGGAAUAACUUCUUAUCCCCACCUUUGUCUCCCAAUUCCUCGUAUAGACGCCCAAACGCUAUAGUCUUAGCCUCUGUGACCACCAAUUUCUCCUCCUUCCUAGCUACCUUAUACCUCUCCAUGUUCGCUUCUCUCUCCUCCUCUCCUGUGCUCCCUACUAACUUCAGGUACGCCGCCUUCUUCGCUUCCACUUUACCUUGGAUCACUCCAUUCCACCACUAGUCGCAUUUGUGCCCGCCAGAGUAACCCUUCGAGACCCAUAACACCUCUCUUGCCACCUCCCUUGUACAGUUCGCCGUCAUCGUCGACAUAGCGCUCGCGUCCCACUACUCCUCUAGGCUCGCAUAGACGAUAACCUCUCUUCCAACUCCUGAGGUUUAUCCUUAGUCAAGGCUCCCCACCUGAUCAUCGUUUAUUGCUAGUAUUGGUUAUGUUGAGGCCGACCUAGACCAACACAAAGUAAUGGUACUCAUUCUUCGUCUAUGCAUAUGUACGUUGAAGAUUUAAUCUAAUCUUAAAUAUUAAAAACUUGUUAUUUUAUUUUUCCAGCUACAUUUUUAUUAGAAAACUUACAAAAGUAAGACUCUUGAUUUUGUGUUCUAGUAUCAUUUCAUUCUGACGCUCUUGAGAUACCUCAUGGAGUUUAUUCUCCUCCUUGCUUCUGAAGAUGAGUUGAACACAAGCCUAUAACAUGAUCUAGGUUUUCAUGGUUUUGGACUUCAGCUUUGGAACUUCUAUUUAUUUUCAUAAUUGAGAUUUGGUAGACUUAUGGUAAGUGAGAGGAGUUGAAAGCAGUGGCGGAUCCAGAAUUUUCAUCAAGGGGUGUCAUAAUAUAAAUAAUUAGAUAUAUCGAAAAGUGAAGGAGAGUCAACGUAUAGUAAAUAUACAUAAAAUAAAAAAAGUUAUCUAGCAAAAUAGUGUAAUUUUCCGGCGAAUGGGUGUCGCUUGACAUCCCUUGCUUCAAUGUGGCUCCGCCACUGGUUGAAAGUUAUUUAAAAUGCUAAGAGGACCGUGUUAAGGUGGCAUUUGACUUAUUAGGGGGAGGAAAAUUGGAAAACUAUUCUGCAUGUCUUUAGUAUUUUGGCUUGAACAUGAUGUAAUACUGUUGGAUUUAUUAUCUCCUGUAUUUCAAUGUUGUAUUUCUGGGGAUUCUGCUGAACUUAUCCCAUGCUAUUAUUCAUAGAGUUAAGACUGUAAUUUAUCUGCAAUAGAGUUAAAGCACAGGGAUAGACAAGUAUGUGAUCAACACUUUGUUGAUAUCUAUGUAGAAUUUACAUUCUUCAUUUUAUACCAGAAAGAGAUAUUUUACAUGCUUCAAAUUAUCUUUGUCUUGUUUCCCAACUUGCAAUGAAGCUAAUGGUAGACGACCGCUCCUAUAUGUUGAUGGUGGGAUUAUGUGGAGAGAGGCUACAUCUCAUCCCACCCAUGUUAUAAUAGUUGGUAGUGCUUGAUAACGUGAAGUUUAGCAUUAGCACUUUUGACAAAAGGUAAGCAAAAGGUUAUGUGAUAAGUGAAGAGCUUAUCUACAUACGGAAAGAAAUCAUCUAGAGUAGGAUUGAACAGAGAUAUUGGGUCUCUUUGAGGUGGCAAAACUGAACCAUGGAUACCAUUGCCCCACUCUAUGGUAACCGAGGCUUCUAGUUGAGGUUUCAUGACAUUUAGGCAACUAUUAGUGGCUUUUGUUAAGAAUAAUACAUAAGUUAGUGUCGUUUAGAUGCAUGUUGGGGAGGAAGGAUAUCUGUCAGAUUAUUAUUUAGGCUCUUUAGUUGUUGGUCAUAUUCAGUUUGCUUCAUUUUUGUAGAGUGAUAGUAUGGCAUGUGAUGAAAAUUGGUUUGUAGAAUGGAUUCCUUCUGGUCAGAGGUAACUAUAUAGAGUCUAACCACAUCUAAGGCGGAAGGUUUAUCUGGUUAUAGUUCUUCAAUGUUUUAGCCAUAUCCUUGGUUCUUAUGUUGCUGUAUUUGCAUAAUAUGUAUUGCUUAGGUUUAGGGGUGGCAAAUAGGUGGGUCGGAUCGGAUAUGAGCAGGUCGAAAAUGGGAAUGCAAAAAUGGAUAAAUUAUCCGACCUAACCCAUAUUUAAUACGGAUAGAAAAUGGGUUAACCGNNNNNNNNNNNNNNNNNNUAAACUCAUUAGUUAUCUAUUGGUUAUACAUUAGUUAUUCAUUUUCUAAGUGGAUAAUAUGAUUUUUAUCCAUAUUUGACCCGUUUUUAAAAAAUUCAUUAUCCAAUCCAUUUUUUUAGUGAAUAAUAUGGAUGGAUAACUGUUUUUUAAUCCAUUACCGCUACUUAGGUUCAUGACAUAUGGGCAACAUUUUUUUCUUGUGCAGUAAGAAAUUAGCCGUGCCCCAGAUGGAGAUUAUAACACAGCUCUAGAUGAGAUCUUCUGUUCUUGGAUUUUGUGUACCGUAGGAAGUGUGUGCUAUGAGCAUGAGUGCAAUGUCAUGAUGGCAGUAUUAACCCCUCAGCAGAAUGCUUAAUUAUGCCUUAAAUUAUGUUGACCUAUGCAGUCUUAUUAUUAAAAGGAGUCAAGUUCUGCUUCCGUGAUCAAUCUUACGAGAAAUUACCUUCCAAUACCAUAUCCAAAGUUCCUUGCUGCACCUGAACUGAUAUGGCUCUCUGUCAGAUGAAAAUCCCCUGAAUGGUAGACUAAUCUACACUGCUUCAGUUUCACAGUAGUAUCAGGGUGUGUGAUUUCUGAACACAGGAAGGCCCAAUGUUUCUCCUGUUUCACUUCCCAUCACAUUUCGUUUACCUAUAUGCCUGAACUGCAUAAUUCCUGUAAUACUGAUAUGUGAAGAACGAACUAUUUUUUAAUGGGAAUUUUUAUUCCUUUGCAGCAUCUUGAAGACAUGAAGCAUAGCGUCUGACUUCUGUUUUUCCCUUCUGCAAUUGCAAAGAAGGAUUAGAGAUUGAUCUCCAAAUACUGAACAGAUGACAUGACAAAGACAUGUUAUAGAGUUGGAUACCUUGAGUGAAGCAGUGGUACCUAGAACCUAGUGCUAUCCAUGAAUGUCAUUAUCUGCUUAAUAACGACAAGAGGGACUGAGUAGAAGUAAGAAGAUAAGGUUCAGAUUAACACCAACUGUGUCAUCUUGGUAGAAAGUUUAGGACCGGUAUCCACUUCUCUUUUUUCAAAAAAGGUUUGACUCGUAUACUCAGUAGUACCACAUUCAAGUCAGACAAGUUAGGAGAUGAGUGUGCCCUAGCUGACCAUUAUCAAGAAAUGGACUUCACGGUAAGGAAAUCAUUACUCCCUCUACCACGAAUUGAAUUUCCUUGUUGAGUUGGCAUGACUCAGAUGAUGAAAAUUCUGAAGAUUUUGUUUGAGAUUUUGUGGAAACUGGUUAGAAGGGGGCCUGGGGCCUGGGGGGAUAAGCAAUCUUUGAAGUCUGUCAUACUAGAAGUUUUCCCACAAUAAAAGAACCUUUACACUGUAAAAGUAAUUUCAAAGAUGGCCAAACUUUCCUGUACAACAGAAUUUGACAGAUUGCUAAAUCCUUGAAGUCGAUUUAUUAAUGGUCAUCAUCAGUGAAAAGGUAGCAUGUUGCUUUUAUUCUAAUCAUGUGGCCUGUCAGUACCCUCAAGAACAUGAAAACCCUAAUUAUUGUUGUUUUAAUCUAGCAGGAAUCAGCCUGUGUCCAUGUAGAAUAUUUUUUCACAUUAAUAUGAAGACUGUAGUGGUUAGGUGGAAUCUGUUUAGCUGAAGAUGUUCUUGUUGAUAUGAUGCAAAUCGAAAUAAUUGUGAACUAUAAGACAGUUCUAUCCCUAGCUAUGCUUUGAUUGCUAGACAAAUGGGAGUCAUAGUCCCUGAUCUAUUCUUUUAUGUGACCCCUCUCCAGUUAAAUCCUGAAUAGCUGAAGUUGCAGUACGUUCAUACAAUAGGUAGCUUUUCAUGCUGCAUCAUAAUAAUGGAAUACUUAGUUCCUGUUCUCUGUCAAUGUGUUGGAUUGCCCCUGGCUGAUCGUGUCUUUUAUAAAACACAUUGGAGAAAUCUGCUCUAGUCUUGUAAAAUAUCUUCCUUCCGUUUAAACUAUCUGUCUUCAAACUUUAGCCUUCAGUCCAGCAUCUUCAACGGUACAGCUGACUGUAACUAUGAGAAUCUGCAUGCUUCUUUCUUGCAGCAUUUUGUUUGUUUUUUGCUUUUGCCCCUUUAUCCUGCUCUCCAUCUCCUAAUUCUAAUUAAUUUGCUAAAACUUGCGGAUAGGUGCUAAUAUCUUUUAAAUCCUUUUCACAAAGAGGUGUAAACAACAAUGCCCCUCAGGGUUUUGUUCUAGUGGUAAGAGCACAAUCGAUGAUGUGUGGAUUAGGCACAGGCCACAGGUUCGAAUCUUGCCUCAGACAAAGCCAGAUAUUUAAGUGGAGAUGGGUAGAGCGGCGGGCCCAUCAUUCACCCAGUUUCGAACCCUUUGGCCACUGGGAUCUCUCGGUAGUCAGGAAAAAGUGUUAACGACAAUACACCACAAUUUAUGCAUGUUGUGAAAAGAGGAAAGAGGAGAGAAACUCUUACUGAACUUCUCUUGUUAGAAAAGCUCUCGUGUCUUACUGAACUUUUUUGGGUUAACAUAUAUGAGGGCUCUUUUUUAAUGGACUGAAGAAUCCUAAUUAUUGGGGUUUUCAAUUAUGACAUAAUAGUUUAUAGUUCUCUGGUCAAUGGCAGAACAUUAGGAGUAAUUCUCACUAAGAUCAUUUUGACACACUUUUAGACUUAUAGACUCCUUGUAUCUUGGAUAGGAGUUGAGCAAAAACUUUAGUACAGGUUCAACUCCUGAUUGUUGACGGAACAGUGUUCAUCACCGAAAGGUCGUAUUCUUUCUCACAGACUGUUAUCGACACAGCCAAAGAAAUGUGCCUUGCAGCACAUGGGAAAAAUCGUCUUAAUUUAGCGGAAAGAGAUUUUGGUGACACAAAUCUCUAUUAAAUCAUGUAAGCUUGAAUUAAAAUUGAAGGGUAACAAGAAAUUAUUGGGGUAAUUGCUGGCAAAGCCAGAGAAAAGUGACCGGAAGAGACGAUGCCGUCAGGAUGGUUGCCUGAAAGAGAUCAGCGUGGUGCCUCAAAUGUUCUCUGGAAAGAAGUGUGGAGCCUGAAAAGGCACAAUGCUGCCUAAAUGAUGGCUGGAAACAAGAAUAGUGCUGCCUAGAAGGGUUAUCAGAAAGAGGCAAGAGUAGUACUUAGAUUUCCACAAAUAUCGUAGAAGCUUAAUACGCCUAAUACUACAUGGAAGGAGAGAGACGAAGAGAAACUCUUGUUGGAACUGGUUGAUAACAUCAAGAGUGCUCCUUGUAGAAAAGUUUUGAACUAUAUAUGAGAUAAGGAAGUUUCAUGUUCCUAAGGUUUCCUAUUUAUUACAUGAUAUAUAAUCACUAAGGAUAUUUUCCAUAUUAUUCUUAUUGAUCUUGUAACUUUCAUUGGUAAUAUAAUCAUUACCAAAUUCUCUGCUAUUUAAUUAUUCUGUUAACUUUGAACAUCUUUUUUUUUCUUAUUAUAGUGGUGUCCGGGUCAAUUUGCUCGCACCUUGAGUAUCCCACCGAAAAGCCUGCGGUACACAUGGCGCGAAAUCAGCUCACCAUGGUAGAGCAGAUAGGCUUAUACCGAGUGUUAUAGCUUAGCUUUGAACCUGAGAUCUCAGGUUGUUACUCAUGUGUCUCAACUGCUCAACCAUUUCCUUUUUCAACGACAUGAAAUGGCUAUGAUAGAAACCUUAGUAUGCAUAUUUUUCUUUGACUAGUUGACUGCAAAUUAACCAGUGAAACUUACCCUAACCUCAGAAGUUGGAGUUGCCAGUUGGUGAUUCUCCUCCUUUGUUUUGUUGUAUCUUUCAAUCACCGACUUCAUGCUGUCAAAGUAAAUAUAUUCAGAAUUGUCUACGUUGUACUGAUUGAGCAAAAAUUUUGGAUGUAUCACAAAGUUGUUCUGUUUGUUUCUAGUCUAGCCUCUACAUACAUAAUAGUUAAAUUGUGUGGACUUCCCUUGUCAAAAAAAAUUGUGUCGUCUCCAUACUAGGUCAUUGUAAUUAAAUACUUUUUUAUCUAAUAAGAAAGGACUCGAAUAAAACAGGGCAGAAAACAUCUUUUGCAGCCUCUUAUUAACACGAUGGCUGCAGUUCUGGUAUUUUAUUUUCUCUCUUUGGUUUUCAGUUGAAUGGAGUCGAGAGUGAUGGCACGCAAAACCUUUACAAAGUGAAUGGUACUGUCUUGAAGGUAGGUCUCUGAAGUUUGUUUGGCUCCUUUUACUCUAAUUUCAUGUACCAAUCAUCAAGGUAUGGAUUAACUCGUUAGUUGUGGGUGUUCCCUUCAUGCUUAGUAUUAGAAGCCAAACAAGGGGGGGGGGGGGGGGGGAAGGAAUAUCGAACACGAUCUAAUGAGCGUAAGAAAGCUUGUUAUCUUGAACACCAAGUUAUUUCUGUAGGCAUUCUCUGUGCUGCUUCUAAAUUCUAUACUAGUUAUUGAAUGUUGAUUGAGUGAUAAGGAAUUGUCUAAACAUACAACCUGAAUUCAGAUAAAGAAUAUAACAUGGGGAUAUUUCAGAAUGAUAACCCAAAUGCAUGAGGAAGAGAAUUUCCUAAAACAUAACUAGCAUAAUGUAAAUGCAUGCAAGAGAUGCAUAAUGAUAACUGCAACUGUAGUUAAGGAACUAUCUGUAGGUUUUUGGGUGAAAUAAGGUAAGUUUUAGGAUCCCGGAUAUGAUAAAAAGAAAAGAGGUUCAGUCUCUCGGGUCAAACUUUCCUUGCCUUUCUCUUCUGUUUAACAUAUCUUUAUUUCUGUUUCUGACUCCUUUUCUGUUUGUCUGUCUGUCUGAUGGAGUAUUUCUGAAUCAUUCAUGACAUUGAAAGCAAUUGUUUAGUGGUAGAAUGGUAGUAAUAGAUAAAAUAAUUCUAACAACAACAACACAUCGGCAGUAGUAAUUUCUCAGCCAGUAUGGUAGUGGGGUGUUAUGGUAUACUUCAUGAGUAGUUUUAGUGACUCAAUGAGAAAUGCUUAAUGAAAUCAUGAUAAAGAUAUGUUUAGGCUAGAAUAGAAAUGCUGGCAAUCAGAAGAUAGCACGAAAUGAUUGGAACAACAAAUUUAUUGGGCCAUUUGCAAUCAGAAGAUAACACGGCUUCUGAAGUCUGAUUCGCACUAUAACAUGCAAUGCAUCCCCUUCCUCUCUAUGUAUGUCAUAGGGUCUUUCAUUUGAUUUUGUCAGUAACAUGCUUGAUGUUAUCAAAACCAGAAGCGCAGCGAAAAAGGAACACAUUCAUGCAUGAGACAAAGAAUUGCUUGAUGUUCCAGAAUAAUAGUAAGAACAAGAUACUAGAAUAGAUGUCAUUUGAGAAAGGAGUGAUGUGAAAAACUUAAGCAUAUAUAUCUCAUUCUGGAGUCCUAACGGAAAAAGCGAUCGUCAUCUAGAGUUCUUCAUUCAUGUAACUGCUGGUGUAACUAGUUCUAUUAGCAGAAAGCAGCACCAGAAAAUAGUAUCAUUUGUUGAGAUACCAGACUUCGUAAUACAUGCCUUUGUCACCCUUGUAGCAGAGUUCUAACAUCGUCUGUAUUUCUGCUGGUUUCCACUUUUCAAUGUUCCUCCUAUAUUUUCUUGUGCAAUAUAUUCAGACCCGUCUCCCACUGUUACAUUAUAUGAUUAAAUGAGGAAUCUACCAUGAUUAUAAGUUGAGCUAUAUGGUGUGACUGCUAUUCAGAUAGUGUUCCAGUCAAGUUCUCAUAAUAAUUUUGUGGUUAAAGAUGUUUUUUUUUGGUAAUUAAACAUUUAUUAAUCACCAAGGAAGAUCCGUACAAAGCCAUAGUUAGUUAAACUCGACUAUCUAAAAACAAGAAACUAUCAAUUCCUCUAUCUACCAUCCUAGGAAAUUUAAAACGAACAAGAUUGAAAAUAACUCCUAGUUCUAACAGGGGAUCUAGCACAACAUGUAUAAGCUAUCUCUUUUGCAAUGGUGACCCAAUCUUUUUACUCUUCUGUUCAAAGAUCCUUUGGUUCCUUUCUAUCCAUAUUUCUAUAUAUAGCAACUUGAAAAUCUGGGCAGUUGGUGAUUUUCCUUGGCAUUCUCAAUAGUCCACUGUUGAUAUUGCAUCCAUGCAGUUGGAAAAGUUGUAUUCUUCUUCCCCCAUAGCAGUACCUUGUCCCAUAUCUUCCUUGAGAGUCUACAUUGGACAAAGAGAUGUUCAUUUGUCUCAUUGUGUUCUUGGCAUUGGCUACACUUUAGUUCCACAUUGAGUCCCCAUUUUACUAGCCUAUCCGCAGUGAGUAAUCUUUCAUGCAAGUGAAGCCACAUGGUAAAAUGUGCUCUAGGUCUAGCAUCCCUUCUCCACGCUCUAGGUCUAGCAUCAUUGGAGAACAUUAGGCAUUUCCAUGGUAUUCUUGGUAGGUCUCCUAGGUAGUGUUGUCAAAAGCGCACUUAAGCCCUGGAGCGAGGCUCAAAAUAUGUUGAACGCUUCGCCUCGCUUUGUGAGCGCUUUAGUGUUGCAUCAAGGCUCUAUGGCAUACUUUCUCUUGCCAAUUAAUGUAAUCCUGAAAAGGCGAUAUUGAACAAUUGAUAUUUCGCUUUAUCGUAAUUCAAUUUCUUUGUCCAUAUUUUUGUUAUUCAUGUUUGUAAUUAUUAGUCUUAGACUACAUAUACAUAUUUUUACUUUUUCUCCAGUUGCGCCUUUUUUCAUUAAAAACCAUGCUUUAUUUGCGCUUUGCGUUUAAAGCACCAAUGGAUCUUAAGAGCUUUUUUGUGCUUUUCGCCUUUGAUAACACUGCUCCUAAGAGCUGCAAAUAAGUCUGCUUAAUCAAGCUUUUCCCUGGUGCAGGUUGGUCCAGUAGUUGCAUCAUGGUAGUUCUUGCAUCAAAGAUCCUCCUAACCAUCCAACAUGCACAUUGUGGCACCUUCACGAUAGCAAAUUGCUGCCCCUUGAUGUAAUAGCUAUGAAUCCAUCCAUAACCUGUCAGUUUUAUGUGCUAAGUCCCAACAGGUUUUCAAUACUGCUGCUCUAUUCCAUAGCCUUAAGUUCAUGAGGUUGAGUCCACCUGCAGAUUUAGGGGAGCAAACCAUUUCCCAUGCAACCAAAGCCUUCUUACUUAUUGUGUUGACUCCUGACCAAACAUAACUACGACAGUAUGCAUCUAUGAUACCCAAUUUCUUGGCAAGGAUCAUGAAGAGUUGAGGUCAAUAGGCUUGGAUGCCAAAUAUGACUGAUUUGACCAGUAUCCUCCCAGCAUAGGACAAUUUUCUAGUAGUCCAUGAGGAGAUUCUUUUUUUUUUUUUUGAGAAGGUAACAUAAUUGUAUAUUAAUAUAAGACUUCACUAAAAUUGUGAAGUCACCCAUAAUUACAAAGAAAGUGCCCUAGCAAAAAUAAAAGACACUUUAAAUCCUUGGUCUUCUUACAAGGAUUCUAGUACAUCUAAAAUGGAUUCAAGAUCCUCCAAAAACUUCCCUUUACGCCAAAAAUGUCCUAUGCUGGGAGAUUCUUUUAACUAUCUUUUGUACAAGAGGCUGCCAUUGUGUUGUGGUCAACUUCUUAAUUGACAAAGGUAUGCCCAUGUAUUUGAAUGGUAGAUUCCCAUAGGUGUAUCCCAGCCGCUGCAAUUUUUAAUCCUUUUCUUCCUGUAUCACUCCUCCACAAUAUAAUGAACUUUUGCCUAGGUUAGCUUGUAAGCCUGAGGCAGAGGAAAAUUGAUGAAAGCACUGUUGAAGGUGAUAUAUAGACCCCACAUCUCCAUGAGCAAAGAGUAAGAGGUCAUCUGCAAAGGACAGAUGUGUAAUCCCCAGCUUAGCACAUUUGGGGUGAAAUCUGAAGGCCUUCUUAUCUUUCAAAUUGUUCAAUUGUCUGCUAAGAUAUUCCAUUGCUAUGGCAAAAAAGGAAAGGGGACACUGGAUCCUCUUGUCUCAGGUCCCUUGCAGCAUCAAAUGGUUCAAUUGGCUCACCAUUGAUCAAGAUAGAGUAGUUGACUGUUCUAAGGCAUUCCAUAAUUCAUUCAAUGAAUUUCCUGAGAAAAGCUAAUUCCUCGAAAAGCUGUUCUAGAUAGCACCAUUCAACUAUGUCAUAAGCUUUUUGUAGAUCAAUCUUGAUCAGACACCUAGGAGACACAUGCUUCCUAGCGUAAGCCUGUACUAGCUCAUGAGCCAAGAUGAUGUUAUCUGCUAUUUUCCUUCCUAGUAUGAAGCCUGCUUGUGCUUCACAGAUAAUGUCAGGUAUCACCUUUUGUAAUUUUGAUGCUAAGAUUUUUUAGAUAAUUUUAUAUAGAACAGUGCAGCAUGCAAUUGGUCUAUAUUAUUUCACUGUGAGAGGAUUCUCAGACUUAGGGAUCAAUGUGAGUUUAGUGCAAUUACGAGCUCUGUAUAGCUUUCCUGUUGUAAAGAAUGCUAAAACAUCAAGGUUCACUUCUUCCUUGAUUAUAUGCUAGGUCUUUUUAAAAAAGAUCGUAUUUUACCCAUCAACUCCAAGUGCCUUGUCAUCUCCGAGCAUAGGCUAUCAUAAAUCUCAACAGUGUUAACAGCCUCCCACAAUGCCAAUUGUUGUUGAUGAUUUAACUUUGGUCCUUUCUGCAUGAUCAACCUGUUUAUAGCUGUAGUUCCUUGGCUGAGGUCCCCAUGAGGCUUUUAUAAAAAGUGAUGAUUUCCUCUAUUAUACCCUUUAGAUCAGUGAUCUUAUUUCCUGCUAUUGUAUUGAGUUCCAUUAUUUGUUUCCUGACUGUUUUCUCCUUGAUUACUGUUGUGAAGUACUUGGUGUUGGAAUCACCCAAUUUGAUCCAUCUAAUUAGAUUUCUGUCUCAUCACAUUCUCCUCUAUUAAAGACCACUUUUCCAAGGCUUGAGUUGUCUUUUCUCCAGUAUCACCAGCUCAUCUGUAUACUGCUGAGUUAUUUGCUCCUGUACAAGCUUCAGCUGUUGUUUAGUGAUGUGAAUCUUUUGUGAGAUGUAGCUAAAUUCUUCUUUAUUGAGCUUCUUGCACAAAGGUUUCAAGGCCUUCAGCUUCAUCCAUAUAUUCUUCACGGGGUUGUUAUCCAACUGUUUUUGCCACACCUCCUCGACUAGUGAUUCAAACUGGCUAUGUUCAGUCCAAGUGCUAAAGACCUGAAAGAGUAUUGGGUGAUUUGGAUGCAGAUUUCAGGUGUAGUAACAUUGGAGAAUGAUCAGAAAUGAGUGGAAUAUCAUAUUCUGAAGAAAUGAGUGGAAUAUCAUAUUUUACUUUGAUAUAGCCCCAACACAUCAUCCAAAUCUCCGUUACCCAAGGCUCUAUCAGUUCUACUACAUACUCUGUCAUUACCCUGUUACUUGUUUGACCAUGUAUAAUACUGUCCACUCCAGUGUAGCUCAUUAAGGCCUAGGUUGAGUAUACAAUCUUCAAAGUCUUUGAUCUUAGAGGCACUGAUAGGGCUGCCUCCUAAUCUGUCUAUGGGAUACAAUACAGCAUUAAAGUCCCACCCACCAACCAAGGGAGGUUGAUUGAAGGGCCCAAUGUAGUCAAUGCAGCCCAUGAGGAUAACCUGCUCCACAGUGUUAAAACCAUAGAUAAUCGUCACCAGUUGUUCAGUUGCAGUAGUUCUAUCUGUAACUUUACAGUGGAUCAUUUGGGCUGCUACAACUAACAGGUUCACGUAAAACCUGUUAUCAUCCCAGAUUAGCCAUAUUCUUCCAUUGUCUGCUUCCUAAUAGUUAUUGUGAAAUCCCCAGCCAUGAGCAAUGUUUUUAAGUAUCUUCAUAGCAUUGUGUUGCUUGGUUCUUGUCUCCACUAAUCCUGCUAAGUUGAUUUUGCCAGUUCUGGGGUAGUUCCUUAGUUUCUUUUGCUUAUACCUCUUAUUAAUGCCCCUCACAUUCCAGAUACACCAAGUUAUUGAGAGGUAUUUGGACCCUUCCCUUUAUCAGGAGGCAUUAUGUCUUCACUUCUCUGUUAUCUCAAAGGUGUUUAUGAGUGGAGUAGUCCCCAGUAAAAGAAAGUUAUUGUAGUGGAGGGCUUUGGAGGGCUUUGUGGCGUUGGGGCCUUUCCUUUACUCUUUGUAGUUACAGUCACUUGAUCCUCUUUGGUUGUUUGAGCACUUUCAUCUUGCAGGAUAACAGGCUGCUGCUGAGUAUGCACCAUUAAAUCAACUUGUGGUUGCACACUGUUGCCUUGUAUUCCUUGGGCUUGCUGCUGUUGCAUCUGCACAUUUCCUUCAGUAGGUUUAUCACUUGGAUUCUUAGUUCUCCAUACCUGUUCCACUCUUUUUGGACCUCUCCUCUUUCUCUGAACUUCUGGUGGUUGCUGGCCAGUUUGUGAUUGGGUUUUACAUGAGUGGCCUACUUGGAGACACUGAUCACAAACUCAGGGUUUCAGUCAUAAGUUACUCUCUGUUGGAUAACCUCCCUAUUUGGCUCCAUCACAGCCACCUCUUCAGGGAGUGCCUUCGUGGCAUUCACCUCUAUCAGCAUCCUAGCAAAUGAAAUUCGUGUUUGUUUGGAGGUGCACUCAUCUGCAUAUAUUGGAGUACCAAUGAGACUUGCAAUUCUACUAAGAGAAUCACUGCUCCAACAUCUCAUAGGAAGCUUUGGAAAUUUGACGUUGUUAAUGGUAUAGGGCCCUGCAUAGAAUAUUUCCUUCAUGUCCUGUACACUGUGGAAUUUCACCACAUAGUAGCCCUCCUCAUGUAGAAACAAGUAAGGUGUAGCAACACUCGGACCAAUUUUUCCUUAUGUAUCGGCUUAUCACAUUGAAACCAGGCACCUCUCCUAACACAUAAACAAUAAGAGCACUCGUCCACUUCUCAGCUUCCUUGUGCAGUUGACUACAGAACCUGCCCUUUACCGUCGUUGCUAAAGCAAACAGCCAAAGCUUUCCUGUUGAUUUCACAAGCAGCCGAUUUUUCAUGCUUUGGUCUCAUUAUCUCACCUAGUGGGACCGCCCAUCUACCUCGGCUGCCUUGUCUUCUUCAGUUGGAACAUAACCCAGCCUAUAAGUUGCCUUGUGAUUCACAAAGUUUGGUGACCCAUGUUCCUUAUUAACUUCAGAUUUAACUAGUUGAGCCAUGGGUUGUCCGUUCACUAUCUUAGGUGGAAUGUAAGAAAGAGACAUACCAUUAGUAGCACAUCUAUUUCUAGCAAAUAGGCUUGUCCAUGGUGCCUUCGCUGGAGCAUUCUCUUCAGGACUUGUGCUUGUUCUUUCCAAAUCCAUGGGCUUCUCGCUAUGAUUGCCUGAAAUUGGUCUCCUCUGAGUUGUUGCUUCCAUCAAAGUCCCCACCGAAGAACUCACUCCCACUGGGGUUACUGUUCCAUUGGAUUUCUCCAUUAGGGUUACAGCGCUCGUGGUCAAUUCCUUUGGUUUUGCUGCUGCAUUUUCCCUUAGAUCUAAUUGCGUGCUAAUUUCUCUUGUUAACAUGUCAAUCGCAUCUCGUCCGGUGCUUGCAUGGUCAAAAUGGUCCUCUGUAAUUUGUGCUUUUGCUUUGGAGGUUUCAGGCUGCAUCCUUGCACCAACUGUGCUUCCAAACGAAACAAUUGGCACUUUUUUUUGUCAUCCCCUUCGCCGUCCUCUGCCUCGUCCAGGCCCCAUGGUAUUCACAGUGGCGUAGGUUAACUACCAUGCGCCGGGAGCAUGGUGAGAGAGAAGAGAAGGUUAAAGAUGUUUUUACGCCAUAGCAUAUUCAAUCCAUUGCAAAAGUGGUUGUGAUCAAUGUAAGAUUCUAUGCAAGUUCACAAACAUCACUAUUCUAACAAGGCUCUUCCAUAUAUAUCUAUACUGAAGAACAACUUCCGUUCCUAUACAAGUAUAAAGGCACAUCAAACUUCUGAAGUCUUGAAAGUUUAACAAACAGAGAUUUUUCUGUCUAAUUCGAAAUGAAGGGAAUUGGAUCCUAUCAAUAUUGAAGUGUCCUCUUGCUUCCCUAGUUAGCUCUAGUUUUACAUUUUCACAUAUUCCUCAACUUUCCCAACUUACUGCGAUUGAACUACAUUGAUCUACUCCUCCCAAAUUACAUAGUCUUCAAUCAAUCACCAAAGUUGAAAGGGAGAGAAAUACUUUCUCCUGUUGAAAUCAGACCAAUUUUGAAUGUCAAACAAAGUUGAGCAAGGUAACUGAUACUUACCCAUCAUCCCUGGACAAAAUUCAUCAAACUAAAUUGAUUAUUGUUAUGAAGUACAUUUUGUUUUAGCUCAAAAUAUGACCUUCCCUUAAACAAAGGUAGUCCUGUUAUACAUCCUUAAACAAAGGUAAUCUUGUUAAAAAUCUUGACAACUGUUAGAUAAGAUUCUAGUGGAAUGCACAAAAGGUUUUCAUUGCCCUAUUAUCAGGAGGCAGUAUCGCCCUUCAUGCCCUCGGUAAUUGGCAUAAAUAAACUUUUAUCCAUGGCACAAACUUCUACAUUAUUCUAGCAUUAUUCAUGAUUGCAGGUAAGCUCGACCAGCUGGGGAGAACCUUGGAUGAAUGCAAACUACAAGGAACAAAACAAGGCGGCAGAUCAACUAACAAAGGGUUGAUAAAUCCAGCCAUUUUUAGCAAAUUUAUUUUGUUAUAUUGUGUAUUUAUUCUUUUCAUUUAGAGUAUAUGUUUAGCUGUUUUAUUGUUCUAUCUUCAAUAUGUUGGGUCAAGUCCAAUAACGACACUAUAUAACAAUGUGUAAACAAUUAAUAGUUUAUCUAAUUUACGUUGUAGCUGGCAAAA